rnacentral:rRNA from 1 species
CCUACGGGGGGCAGCAGUGGGGAAUAUUGGACAAUGGGGGCAACCCUGAUCCAGCCAUGCCGCGUGUGUGAAGAAGGCCCUCGGGUUGUAAAGCACUUUCAGUGAGGAAGAACGCCUGGUGGUUAAUACCCAUCAGGAAAGACAUCACUCACAGAAGAAGCACCGGCUAACUCCGUGCCAGCAGCCGCGGUAAUACGGAGGGUGCGAGCGUUAAUUGGAAUUACUGGGCGUAAAGCGCGCGUAGGUGGCUUGAUAAGCCGGUUGUGAAAGCCCCGGGCUCAACCUGGGAACGGCAUCCGGAACUGUCAAGCUAGAGUGCAGGAGAGGAAGGUAGAAUUCCCGGUGUAGCGGUGAAAUGCGUAGAGAUCGGGAGGAAUACCAGUGGCGAAGGCGGCCUUCUGGACUGACACUGACACUGAGGUGCGAAAGCGUGGGUAGCAAACAGGAUUAGAUACCCGAGUAGUC